rnacentral:lncRNA from 1 species
AUCAUUGCCUUGAUACAGUAGCCUUAGAUUUUCCAGGGCACUACUAAAGCUUUGAGUCUAAUGGGAAGGAUUGAGGUAUUAAAUGAAGUCGCUGUCACUUCGUGAGCCACUUAAUAGAUAGCGACAGAUUAGAUAGUACUUAUCAAUGCUUUCUUUAAUAUGAGUUAGAUAAUAUACCUAAUCCGCAUAUUAUUAGAUUAUUUAAGACCGUCGUUGUCUAGAUCUAAAGCGAUGACGAGAGGUAAAAGUGGUUUUUAUUUUGAAACAUUAGCCCUCGAAAUCCGUGGCUCAAAACCCCGUGGUCCUAAUAGAGGCUUCAAAGGUUGUUAAAAUGAUGAUGGCUAGGGACUGCCUACAGGCAAGAGUACUCUCUGUGGCCUGUACACGCAUGCCUAUGCUGACGCUUUGGUAGUUCUCUGCCUGGGAAAAGACACCACCACACAGCAAAGCUCCAUAAUACGGACUAUGCCUAUAGUGAACCGAUAAUGCAUCUUGAAAAGGCUAAGGGCCAAAAAAGCAGAACUUUUACUUUUCACGAGGAGACAUAUGUUUGACACACUACUCAUUCUAUCCCUGGAAUCUUAGAUAAAAUACUCCAGGACAGUACAAUUUUAAGUUAUCACACUGGAUUCUAAACUCUCCUGGUACGAUCAUGUGGAUAUCAGAAUGAAGAAGGGCAUCUGUGUGCUUUGAGUUUAUACAAGGGCUAUUUAAAGCAUCUGGAGUCUGUCCCCUAAGAUUCUUCACCAGAUCUCAUUAUCUAUUGUUAAGUGUUUUCUUACAUAAUGAACUAUCUUUAAGUGGUUCUACAUGGAGAAAGGAAUAAAAUUUGGAUAUGUGGCACCUGCGGCAGUCGACUAUAAGGGCUUCGUAACCCAACAGGGUCUAGCAACUAACUAAAUAAAGCUUCAGAAAGAAUUACUGAGCCGGUAAAGGUUUCUGCGUUGGAGUCCUAUAUAGCAGCAGGGCCUCUUCGCUGGGAAAUCACGCUACAAUCUUCCAAGCUAAAGGAUUCGCUUUGGUAAAAUGCCUGCGGAUAGCAGAGCUGCCGAUAAGGCUAUUACGGCGAAAAAGUUUAGCUCCAUGCUUAUACUGAAGCGUGUAUAAGGGUUCUAGAGGAACUAAUGAAGGAGGGCUGCAGAGUUCAGUUAUUCUUGAUAAUGAGGAAGCAAACAUGCUUUCUAAAAAAAGGAAUCCGCGAUGCUGCCAGUAGGCACCGAACUUAAAAUCAUCUUCAUCACCAAAUCAGCAUCACUAAAGGCUACGUUAUUGGAGAUUGUCCAGUAUUUAGAAGAAUCUUGGUACUAAUUAACCUACUGUUUAAAGAUCUAGUUAAUAGUUACACUUUGUCCUGCAAUUAAAAUCUUUCAGACCUGACGCCUGAUUGGCUUUUCCGAGGCGAUUGGCCUCUGGUAAUCUUCGAUGAGGCAUGACGGGUUUAUCAGGAGAUCUAUUGGUACAACAGCCACCUUGGCUACACACUGCUAACAUUCCUAUUACUCCCUUUAAUAUAAUUAUAUAUUUCUGGAAACGAUUUUUUAAGCUUCUUGCUUUCAAUAUAAAAUAUUAAAAUUUAUUAUUAAUUAAUUAUAUACUUUUUUACACAAUAAAACAUAUUCCUUUACAUAUUAUGAAUAUUCAAUAUUUAAUAACAAGAUCAUUUUUAAUAUCCGCUGGCGCGUUUACUACUUUAUUCAUAAUAAUAUAUUGUUUUAAAUAUGAAGGAAAUUUUGGUAUAAAUAUUGAUAUAGCUGUUUAUAAAGUAGCAGUUGAUCCAACAAGAUCAAGUUAAGCAAACCUUAACAGCAUUCAAUAUGAAAUCUUUUGGGAUAUUUGUGGUUCUUUUUGCCUUCAUCGCUCUAAGUUUAGCUGGUGGACAUGAUCAUGAUGAUUACUAUAAAAGUUCUCAUGACGACUCAAAUAAGGUGGUCUACGUAGAAAAAGAAUCCAGAUACAAUAGGCCCAGUUACAAAGUUGAGGAGGGAGAUUCAGAAUAUAAGAACGUAGUUUAUAAAUAUGAAGAACCAGAUGAGAAGAAGGUUCGUGUUGAUGUUAAAGUGGUUAAACAACAAGGAAAAGAUGAAAAUGUCUUGUACAAAUACCUUGAGAACUACCAUCACUAACAAUUUUGUCAAAUGUUAUUGUAAUCCUAUUAAAUAUAUUUUUUCAAAGGUUUUUUUUGUCAUAUAUUUAAUUAACGAUAGUGUUACAAGUUAUUUUGUUUACAUUUAAAAUCUCAAUAAAUAUAUAAUAUUAUCUGAA